rnacentral:rRNA from 1 species
GGGGACCCGCAAGCGGUGGAUGAUGCGGAUUAAUUCGAUGCAACGCGAAAAACCUUACCUACCCUUGACAUGUACGGAAGGCCAAAGAGAUUUGGCUGUGCUCGAAAGAAAACCGUAACACAGGUGCUGCAUGGCUGUCGUCAGCUCGUGUCGUGAGAUGUUGGGUUAAGUCCCGCAACGAGCGCAACCCUUGUCAUUAGUUGCUACAUUUAGUUGAGCACUCUAAUGAGACUGCCGGUGACAAACCGGAGGAAGGUGGGGAUGACGUCAAGUCCUCAUGGCCCUUAUGGGUAGGGCUUCACACGUCAUACAAUGGUACAUACAGAGGGCCGCCAACCCGCGAGGGGGAGCUAAUCCCAGAAAGUGUAUCGUAGUCCGGAUCGCAGUCUGCAACUCGACUGCGUGAAGUUGGAAUCGCUAGUAAUCGCGGAUCAGCAUGUCGCGGUGAAUACGUUCCCGGGUCUUGUACACACC